rnacentral:rRNA from 5 species
CUGCGACCCCAGGUCAGGCGGGACUACCCGCUGAGUUUAA